rnacentral:rRNA from 1 species
CAGUCGCCGCGGGAAUACGUAGGGUGCGAGCGUUAAUCGGAAUUACUGGGCGUAAAGCGUGCGCAGGCGGUUGUGUAAGACAGGUGUGAAAUCCUCGGGCUUAACCUGGGAACUGCGCUUGUGACUGCACAGCUAGAGUAUGGCAGAGAGGGGUGGAAUUCCACGUGUAGCAGUGAAACGCGUAGGGAUGUGGAGGAACACCGAUGGCGAAGGCAGCCCCCUGGGCCAAUACUGACGCUCAUGCACGAAAGCGUGGGGAGCAAACAGGAUUAGAUACCCGCGUAGUCCCUGUCUCUUAUAC